rnacentral:lncRNA from 1 species
CAAUAACGAGUUGGGCUCGCGAGCAGUGGCUACCGCAUGGUGCUCUAUAGUCUUCACGGCCUAGCGCUCAUUCCGAGGCCCACAUUCUGCACAGCUUGACGCGGCUCACGUUUGCUUUGCAACAGUGUAAAAACGAAAGUGCAUGGCAUGCAGCUGCAUCAUGUCUUUCUAUGUCAAGGUGAUGGUCCAUGUGGGUAAGACUGCCCCGUACUUGGUACAGACGUCUGUGAAAAUUCCGCUAUACAUGAAUUGUCCCCUCUGCCAAUGGAUAGAAACAGGUGCCACGGGACAAGGCCCCUCCCCAUAGACUGAGAGGUGCAGCGUAAAGUCGGAGUACUGCGAACAAACCCAUGCGCCUCAGCGUGUAAUGAAAACUUCCCAGCCUAUAGUGGAGUCAAUAAACUGUUCCAUGAGGCACUAUCACGAUAUCACCUCCACGUCGAAGCGCGUCCGCGCACAGCCCGAAAGCCAGUAGUCAAAAUUGAUGAGCUAAAGGUGAUACCUUUAGUAAAGUUUUCAGGACCCCUCCUCGUAUGGUUUUCAUCCAUUUCCCUCAAUACAAAGCUUGGCAACGACUAGUAGUACUUGGCCUUCUCCUGUACACGACUGCUAAUGCGCAUGGCUUUCUACAAAUUAAGCGUAUAAUAGAUGACGUUUGUCAAUUUCCUUUGGAUUGCCGCCGGACACAUUGUCCAGCCGCCGCCGUACAUGGUCGCAGUCUCUUGAGCAGCCUCGCCCAAACGGAAAAUUUCCUCUUCCAGUGGCCCUUUUUCGUUACCUUGCUGUUAGGAUAGCAAAAUGGGCGGCGAGAACGUGCGCCUGUACGUGAAGGGCCACAUUCUGGGCUACAAGCGGUCCAAGGCCAACCAGCAGAAUCAUACCGCUCUUCUUAAGAUUGACGGGGUGGCCACGAAGAAGGAGACGGCUUGGUACCUGGGCAAGCGCAUCGCCUAUAUCUACAAGGCCAAGACCGAGAAGCA